rnacentral:rRNA from 3 species
AGCCUGAUGCAGCGACGCCGCGUGAGGGAUGACGGCCUUCGGGUUGUAAACCUCUUUCAAUAGGGACGAAGCGCAAGUGACGGUACCUAUAGAAGAAGGACCGGCCAACUACGUGCCAGCAGCCGCGGUAAUACGUAGGGUCCGAGCGUUGUCCGGAAUUACUGGGCGUAAAGAGCUCGUAGGUGGUUUGUCGCGUUGUUCGUGAAAACUCACAGCUCAACUGUGGGCGUGCGGGCGAUACGGGCAGACUAGAGUACUGCAGGGGAGACUGGAAUUCCUGGUGUAGCGGUGGAAUGCGCAGAUAUCAGGAGGAACACCGGUGGCGAAGGCGGGUCUCUGGGCAGUAACUGACGCUGAGGAGCGAAAGCGUGGGGAGCGAACAGGAUUAGAUACCCUGGUAGUCCACGCCGUAAACGGUGGGUACUAGGUGUGGGUUUCCUUCCUUGGGAUCCGUGCCGUAGCUAACGCAUUAAGUACCCCGCCUGGGGAGUACGGCCGCAAGGCUAAAACUCAAAGAAAUUGACGGGGGCCCGCACAAGCGGCGGAGCAUGUGGAUUAAUUCGAUGCAACGCGAAGAACCUUACCUGGGUUUGACAUGCACAGGACGCCGGCAGAGAUGUCGGUUCCCUUGUG